rnacentral:rRNA from 1 species
UACGGGGGGGGCAAGCGUUGUUCGGAAUUACUGGGCGUAAAGGGCUUGUAGGCGGCCAACUAAGUCCGACGUGAAAUCCCCAGGCUUAACCUGGGAACUGCGUCGGAUACUGGAUGGCUUGAAUUCGGGAGAGGGAUGCAGAAUUCCAGGUGUAGCGGUGAAAUGCGUAGAUAUCUGGAGGAAUACCGGUGGCGAAGGCGGCAUCCUGGACCGACAUUGACGCUGAGGAGCGAAAGCUAGGGGAGCAAACGGGGAUUAAGAAACCCU